GAAAGAAGCGGUUUACGGAAGAGCAGAUCAAGUCGUUAGAGUCCAUGUUCGGGACGGAGACGAAGCUGGACCCGAGGAAGAAGCAGCAGUUGGCGCGCGAGCUGGGGAUGCACCCGCGGCAGGUUGCUAUCUGGUUUCAGAAUAAACGGGCACGAUGGAAGUCCAAACAGCUCGAGAAGGAGUACAGUGUCCUGAGGGCUGACUACGAUG
rnacentral:misc_RNA from 1 species